rnacentral:rRNA from 1 species
AGAAUCAACGCUGGCGGCGUGCCUAACACAUGCAAGUCGCACGAGAAAGGGGAGCAAUCCCUGAGUACAGUGGCGCACGGGUGAGUAACACGUGAAUCAUCUACCUCCGAGUGGGGAAUAACUGAGAGAAAUCUUAGCUAAUACCGCAUAAUACCCACGGGUCAAAGCAGCAAUGCGCUUGGAGAGGAGUUCGCGGCAGAUUAGUUAGUUGGCGGGUAAUGGCCCACCAAGACGAUGAUCUGUA